AAGAUUUUAAGUUAAAUAAACUGAUAUCCUUCAAAGUUAUAAAUAAAGAAUUUUUCUUUAAGUCUUA
rnacentral:tRNA from 1 species